rnacentral:lncRNA from 1 species
AGGACCUUGAACACCCUUCUUUAACUUGUCUAUAAGUCUGUCUUUGCAGAAACAGAUGCCUGUACAACUGAGAAUCCUUCAGCUAAUUGAAGCACAAAAUUCUUGGAGGUGGAAAGAUGGUGGUGAUGGUGGUAGUACUGGGGUGUCAUCACACUUUGAGCUGCUGUGACAGUUUACUGCUGGAAUAACUCCAUCCCAAAAUUAUUACUGU